UACGUAGGGCGCAAGCGUUAUCCGGAAUUAUUGGGCGUAAAGAGCUCGUAGGCGGUUUGUCGCGUCUGCCGUGAAAGUCCGGGGCUCAACCCUGGACCUGCAGUGGGUACGGGCAGACUAGAGUGCGGUAGGGGAGAUCGGAAUUCCUGGUGUAGCGGUGAAAUGCGCAGAUAUCAGGAGGAACACCGGUGGCGAAGGCGGAUCUCUGGGCCGUAACUGACGCUGAGGAGCGAAAGCAUGGGGAGCGAACAGG
rnacentral:rRNA from 1 species